rnacentral:rRNA from 1 species
AUUGAACGCUGGCGGCAUGCUUUACACAUGCAAGUCGAACGGUAACAGGCCGCAAGGUGCUGACGAGUGGCGAACGGGUGAGUAAUGCAUCGGAACGUGCCCAGUCGUGGGGGAUAACGCAGCGAAAGCUGUGCUAAUACCGCAUACGAUCUAUGGAUGAAAGCGGGGGACCGUAAGGCCUCGCGCGAUUGGAGCGGCCGAUGUCAGAGUAGGUAGUUGGGGGGGUAAAGGCUCACCAAGCCAACGAUCUGUAGCUGGUCUGAGAGGACGACCAGCCACACUGGGACUGAGACACGGCCCAGACUCCUACGGGAGGCAGCAGUGGGGAAUUUUGGACAGUGGGCGCAAGCCUGAUCCAGCAAUGCCGCGUGCAGGAAGAAGGCCUUCGGGUUGUAAACUGCUUUUGUACGGAACGAAACGGUCUGGGUUAAUACCCUGGGCUAAUGACGGUACCGUAAGAAUAAGCACCGGCUAACUACGUGCCAGCCGCCGCAGUAAAAC